rnacentral:lncRNA from 1 species
GUCUGUCCAUACCUAAAUACCUUGCUGAGUGUAAUGAAACAUUUGUCUUUUGUUAAAAGUAUGGUGGAUUUAAACCAGUUAUGUUAUCAUUUUGCUUAUAUUUAACACUCCCAUGAAAUAUCUAAUGGCCCCGUAUUCGCUACAUUUUCUAUUUUAAAAAGCCAUAGUGUCGUAAAGUUGUAAAUAAUUGUAUAGCUGGAAACCUCCAUAUUUGUUGUUUUUCACAAUCAUCAUUCCUAAUAGUUGUAGUUUCGUACCUCGCUGAAGCCCUUUACAAAACAAUUCAGAAUCCCGCAAUAUAUUGAUAAUCACUUACAUGUUAUCGUAUAGCGGGUUAUUUUUAGCGGGUGUAAGAUUUAGCGAUUUUCAUUCAAUAACUUAAAGGUAUAUUUUGGCGGUUAUUAUUUUGGCGAAUUCAAAACUUUUAUCAAUACCUUUGCAUGUACACUUUUAAAUUGGUGGAAUUAUUUUGGCGAUUUUGUUCUAUCCGCGAAAAUAAGCGAAAAUUUACACUCCGCGGAAAUAACCCGCUAUACGGUAUUUAACACUACAAUCAACCCAAUAUUUAAAAUUAUUUUGUAAACAGUACAUAAUCUUGGACUGUAAAUGUUAACUGCUAGCGUUUUUUUUUUUUAAAGAAAACCACUUACAUUGUUGUUCUAAGCAGAUCUAAAAUUUUCUUUUAUAUUCGUGAUUUUCAAC